rnacentral:rRNA from 1 species
UAAUACAUGCAAGUCGAACGCACAGCGAAAGGUGCUUGCACCUUUCAAGUGAGUGGCGAACGGGUGAGUAACACGUGGACAACCUGCCUCAAGGCUGGGGAUAACAUUUGGAAACAGAUGCUAAUACCGAAUAAAACUUAGUGUCGCAUGACACAAAGUUAAAAGGCGCUUUGGCGUCACCUAGAGAUGGAUCCGCGGUGCAUUAGUUAGUUGGUGGGGUAAAGGCCUACCAAGACAAUGAUGCAUAGCCGAGUUGAGAGACUGAUCGGCCACAUUGGGACUGAGACACGGCCCAAACUCCUACGGGAGGCUGCAGUAGGGAAUCUUCCACAAUGGGCGAAAGCCUGAUGGAGCAACGCCGCGUGUGUGAUGAAGGCUUUCGGGUCGUAAAGCACUGUUGUAUGGGAAGAACAGCUAGAAUAGGGAAUGAUUUUAGUUUGACGGUACCAUACCAGAAAGGGACGGCUAAAUACGUGCCAGCAGCCGCGGUAAUACGUAUGUCCCGAGCGUUAUCCGGAUUUAUUGGGCGUAAAGCGAGCGCAGACGGUUGAUUAAGUCUGAUGUGAAAGCCCGGAGCUCAACUCCGGAAUGGCAUUGGAAACUGGUUAACUUGAGUGCAGUAGAGGUAAGUGGAACUCCAUGU